UACGUAUGGUGCAAGCGUUAUCCGGAUUUACUGGGUGUAAAGGGAGCGUAGGCGGCGCGUUAAGUCUGAUGUGAAAACCCGAGGCUCAACCACGGGAGUGCAUUGGAAACUGGCGUGCUGGAGUGCCGGAGAGGUAAGCGGAAUUCCUAGUGUAGCGGUGAAAUGCGUAGAUAUUAGGAGGAACACCAGUGGCGAAGGCGGCCUGCUGGACUGCAACUGACGUUGAGGCCCGAAAGCGUGGGGAGCAAACAGG
rnacentral:rRNA from 1 species